GGAUGCCUGAACACCGGAAGCGCUGAGGCGGCAAACUACAAACUGAAAGGAAACGUCGGAGAAGAAAUCAGUGUUGGAACAAACGCCAACCAAAUGCCGUGUGAGGGAUCAGUGAUGACGCUGCCCAUCUCGCCUAGAGGAGGGGCCCUCGUUCCCAUACAGCACGAAAUACUCAGGAAGAGGAGGUUAGGCCACCGACAGACACAAGGGGGAGACCGUGUGCGAGCACAGAGAAAUGAUGAC